rnacentral:misc_RNA from 1 species
AAGUCGUAACAAGGUUUCCGUAGGUGAACCUGCGGAAGGAUCAUUAACACAUAGUCCAUUUGAUGAUGGUUGAAGUGUAUUCUUUUUUAGAGAAUUUUUUCUCUUUAUUGAUACAUUCUCCAUCAUUCAAACCAAUUAGCAAAUGAGUUGAAGUCCUCAUUAUUAAUUAACUUUAAUAAUUGUGUGGAAUAAAACAAAUGUAAUCACGUUUAAUGAAUUCUUUUUUAAAGAAUUCAUUCGACUAAUGUUUACUCAAAAAAACAAAUAUAACCAAGACAACUUGUAACAGUGGAUACCUUGGUUCCCAG